rnacentral:rRNA from 1 species
UACAGAGACUGCGAGCGUUAUUCGGAUUCACUGGGCGUAAAGGGUGCGCAGGCGGCCGUGUGUGUCAGGUGUGAAAUCUCGAGGCUUAACCUCGAAAUUGCGCCUGAAACUACACGGCUAGAGUACUGGAGAGGGAAACGGAAUUCACGGUGUAGCAGUGAAAUGCGUAGAUAUCGUGAGGAACACCAGAGGCGAAGGCGGUUUCCUGGACAGUUACUGACGCUCAGGCACGAAAGCGUGGGGAGCAAAAGGG